GCCGGGUGUGGUGGCGCAUGCCUGUAAUCCCAGCUACCCAGGAGGCUGAGGCAGGAGAAUCGCUUGAACCCAGGAGGCGGAGGUUGCAGUGAGCCGAGAUCACGCCACUGCACUCCAGCCUGGGUGACAGAGUGAGACUCCAUCUCAA
rnacentral:SRP_RNA from 1 species